rnacentral:rRNA from 1 species
UACAGAGGGGGCAAGCGUUGUUCGGAAUUACUGGGCGUAAAGGGCGCGUAGGCGGCCUGCUAAGUCGAUCGUGAAAUCCCCGGGCUCAACCGCGGGCCUGCAGCCGAUACGGGCAGGCUGGAGUUCGGUAGGGGAGACUGGAAUUCCUGGUGUAGCGGUGAAAUGCGCAGAUAUCAGGAGGAACACCGAUGGCGAAGGCAGGUCUCUGGGCCGAUACUGACGCUGAGGAGCGAAAGCGUGGGGAGCGAACAGG